UACGUAGGAUGCAAGCGUUAUCCGGAAUGCUUGGGCGUAAAGCGUCCGCAGGUGGCUAUGUAAGUCUGCUGUUAAAGAGUCUAGCUCAACUAGAUAAGAGCAGUGGAAACUACAAGGCUAGAGUACGUUCGGGGCAGAGGGAAUUCCUGGUGUAGCGGUGAAAUGCGUAGAGAUCAGGAAGAACACCAGUGGCGAAGGCGCGCUGCUAGGCCGUAACUGACACUGAGGGACGAAAGCUAGGGGAGCGAAUGGG
rnacentral:rRNA from 1 species